GUGCUCACUUUGGCAGCACAUACACUAAAAUUGGAAAGAUACAGAGAAAACUAGCAUCCUGAACAAGGAUGACAUGCAAGUUCAUGAAGCAUUCCAUAUUUUU